rnacentral:lncRNA from 1 species
CACUGGAGCAGAGAUGGUAGCAAGUUGGAUUACUGUGAUCACAAUGUGAGCUUGCUCAUCUCCCUGCGGAGGGCCGUGGCCCUGACGAGGCUGCCGAUGGUGUUGACGGCGAGCUUGAUGUCCUCGAGGGGGUUCCCGGGCACGACACGCUUGUAGAGGUAGCUGUCGAAGGUCAUCCGCUGCACGUAGUCGUCAGCGCACAUCUCCACGAAGGCCUCCCUGGCGGCGUUGGAGCGGUAGAAGACCUUCUGCAGGAUGUCGAGCACCUUGUAGGUCGGCCAGUAGAGCCUGUCGAACUCCGCCAG